GAUUAACGCUAGCGGCAGGCCUAAUACAUGCAAGUCGAACGGGAUUCAAAGUAGCAAUAUUUUGAUGAGAGUGGCGCACGGGUGCGUAACACGUAUGCAAUUUGCCUUUAACUGUGGAAUAGCCCUCCGAAAGGAGGAUUAAUACCACAUAACAUAUUGAAACGGCAUCGUUUUAGUAUUAAACCUCCGGGGGUUAAAGAUAAGCAUGCGUCCGAUUAGCUAGUUGGUGAGGUAACGGCUCACCAAGGCAACGAUCGGUAGGGGGUCUGAGAGGAUGAUCCCCCACACUGGUACUGAGACACGGACCAGACUCCUACGGGAGGCAGCAGUAAGGAAUAUUGGACAAUGGAGGCAACUCUGAUCCAGCCAUGCCGCGUGAAGGAUUAAGGCCCUAUGGGUUGUAAACUUCUUUUAGACGGGACAAAACCCCUUUACGUGUAAAGGGUUGAUGGUACUGUCAGAAUAAGCAUCGGCUAACUUCGUGCCAGCAGCCGCGGUAAUACGAAGGAUGCAAGCGUUAUCCGGAAUUA
rnacentral:rRNA from 1 species